UGUAGCCUACUUACUGAAUCUGUAAAAUGGCUGUUGAAGCUUCAUCUCUCGAGCAGGAGCUAUCUUGUUCCAUUUGCUUAGACUUCUUUAAGGAUCCUGUUGUCCUGCAGUGCAGCCACAGCUUCUGUAGAGACUGUCUGCAGAAUUUCUGGGAAGAGAAGAAAUCUCAGGAGUGUCCAGUAUGCAAGAGACAGUCCUCCAUGACAGAUCUUCCUCUAAAUCUGGUUUUGAAAAACAUUGUAGAUAACCAUCUAAAACACAAGAGUGCAUCUCGCUGCGGGCUCCAUGGAGAGAAACUUCUACUCUUUUGUGAGGACGAUCAGGAGCUCCUUUGUGUGGUCUGUCAGACUGCAAAGAAACACAGAAACCACCAGCUCUGUCCAGUGGAAGAAGCUGUACAGGAUAAGAAGGUGGAACUCAAAUCUUCACUGACUCCAUUAAAGGAAAAGCUAGAGAAGUUUACAAAAGUUAAACAAGAGGCUGAGAAAACAGCCAAACAUAUAAAGAAUCAGUCCCAGCACACUGAGAAGAGGAUAAAGGAGGAAUUUGAGAAACUCCAUCAAUUCCUGAGAGAGGAAGAGGAGGCCAGACUGGCUGUACUGAGAAAGGAAAAUGUGCAGAAGAGCCAGAGGAUGAAGGAGAAGAUAGAAAACAUCUCCAAACAGGUCUCCACCCUGUCAGAGAAGAUCAGAGAUAUUGAGAAGGCCAUGGAAGCUGAGGACAUCUCCUUCUUGAAGGCCUACAAGGACACCAAAGAAAUAGCCCAGUGCUCACUGCAGGACCCAGAGCUGGAUUCAGGGGCACUGAUUGAUGUGGCCAAACACCUGGGGUCUCUGAAGUUAAGAGUCUGGGAGAAGAUGCUGGGGAUUGUGCAGUACACUCCUGUGACUCUGGACCCAAACACUGCAGCCCCCUGGCUCUCUGUGUCUGAUGAUCUUACCAGCGUGAGAAACACUGGAGUGAAACAGCAGCUUCCUGACAGUCCAGAGAGAUUCUUCCCCUGUGUUUGUGUGCUGGGCUCUGAGGGGUUUAACUCAGGAAAACACAGCUGGGAGGUGGAGGUGGAGGACAAAACUGAGUGGGAUCUAGGAGUAGCAAAAGGAUCUGUUAACAGGAAGGGGGGGAUUAUAUGCAAACCGGAGGAUGGAAUCUGGGUUGUACUUCUGAGGAAUGGUGAUGAGUAUAAAGGAGGUACCUCACCUCGGACCUGGCUGAGACUGGAGCGGAAACCGCAGAGGAUCAGAGUGCAGCUGGACUAUGACAAGGGGGAGGUGUCCUUCUUCAACCCUGCUGACAAGUCACUCAUCUACACCUUUAAAGACACGUUCACUGGGACCCUGUUUCCAUUUUUCAGUCCAUGUUUAAUAGAAGGUGGUAUUAAUGCUGGAUCCCUGAAGAUCUGCCCAGUAAAGGUGUCUGUGACAACGAUGUUAUCCCAGUAAGGAUGCCUGUGUUUUACAGAUUAUACUGUCUGAAGUGGGAAAACUGGGAUGUCCUGGGACAAGUGCAUUACAAGUGGUUCAUCCCAAUUAGACACCAUGGCAUCCGCAGCGAGGAAGAAAAAGACAGGCAAAAUCGCCGGGAAAGCGACUGACCCACUCCAGGUGUUCGAUUUCGCCGUGGAGGAGGUGAAGA